UACGAAGGGUGCAAGCGUUACUCGGAAUUACUGGGCGUAAAGGGUGCGUAGGUGGUUUUUUAAGUCCGUUGUGAAAUCCCUGGGCUCAACCUGGGAAUGGCAGUGGAUACUGGAAAGCUAGAGUGCGGUAGAGGGUAGUGGAAUUCCCGGUGUAGCAGUGAAAUGCGUAGAGAUCGGGAGGAACACCAGUGGCGAAAGCGGCUUCCUGGUCCAGCACCGACGUUCAGGCACGAAAGCGUGGGGAGCAAACAGG
rnacentral:rRNA from 1 species